rnacentral:sRNA from 1 species
CUAACUUGGUAACAGAUUGCUGCCAGGGAGGAGUAAGAGAACAGGAGGAGAGAGGGGUGUGUUGUGGAAACUCACGUAUGCACUUGGGUUCUGCAGGCCUCAGAGACCCCUGGUUUAAAACCGUGGUGGAACUUAGUAUUGCAGAGGAUUUCUACAUUUCCCUUAGCCUGUCCUAUUUUGCAGCCCUUUUCCAUUGCAUUAGGUCACUUCUGGUUUGUGGCCCAGGGCCAGGGCAUCGUCUCUCAUUGGUAGAGGAGAGACCAGAGUAGCUACAGCCCUGACUCCCUUUCUUCUCUCCACAGUUCAGUGCAUUCAGAACAAGCCCCUGUAUUUUGCUGAUCGGCUGUAUGACUCCAUGAAGGGCAAGGGGACGCGAGAUAAGGUCCUGAUCAGAAUCAUGGUCUCCCGCAGUGAAGUGGACAUGUUGAAAAUUAGGUCUGAAUUCAAGAGAAAGUACGGCAAGUCCCUGUACUAUUAUAUCCAG